GACGAACGCUGGCGGCGUGCUUAACACAUGCCAGUCGAACGGAAAGGCCCUGCUUUUGUGGGGUGCUCGAGUGGCGAACGGGUGAGUAACACGUGAGUAACCUGCCCUUGACUUUGGGAUAACUUCAGGAAACUGGGGCUAAUACCGGAUAGGAGCUCCUGCUGCAUGGUGGGGGUUGGAAAGUUUCGGCGGUUGGGGAUGGACUCGCGGCUUAUCAGCUUGUUGGUGGGGUAGUGGCUUACCGAGGCUUUGACGGGUAGCCGGCCUGAGAGGGUGACCGGCCACAUUGGGACUGAGAUACGGCCCAGACUCCUACGGGAGGUAGCAGUGGGGAAUAUUGCACAAUGGGCGGAAGCCUGAUGCAGCAACGCCGCGUGCGGGAUGACGGCCUUCGGGUUGUAAACCGCUUUCGCCUGUGACGAAGCGUGAGUGACGGUAAUGGGUAAAGAAGCACCGGCUAACUACGUG
rnacentral:rRNA from 1 species